rnacentral:rRNA from 1 species
GCCAGAGCCAUAUCAACCUGCAGUUCUUGCUUGGUGUUCCACUGAAACUAAGCAGGGUUGAGUCUGGUCAGUCCCUGCUUGGGAGACCUCCUGGAUAAAACUAAAGUUGCUACUGGAA